rnacentral:rRNA from 1 species
ACUUAAAGGAAUUGACGGGGCCCGCACAAGCGGUGGAGCAUGUGGUUUAAUUUCGAUGAUACGCGAGGAACCUUACCUGGGCUCAAAUGUAUGUUUGACGUAUUCUGAAAGGGAUACUUCUUCGGACAAUAUACAAGGUGCUGCAUGGUUGUCGUCAGCUCGUGCCGUGAGGUGUCGGGUUAAGUCCCAUAACGAGCGCAACCCCUACCUUUAGUUGCCAUCAGGUCAAGCUGGGGACUCUAAUGAAACUGCCUACGCAAGUAGUGAGGAAGGUGGGGAUGACGUCAAAUCAGCACGGCCCUUACGUCCAGGGCUACACACGUGUUACAAUGGCCAGUACAGAGGGCAGCCACCCCGCGAGGGGGCGCUAAUCCUAAAAGCUGGUCCCAGUUCGGAUCGGAGUCUGCAACCCGACUCCGUGAAGCUGGAUUCGCUAGUAAUCGCGCAUCAGCCACGGCGCGGUGAAUACGUUCCCGGGCCUU